AUGGAUGAACUGUAUGUUUCAAAACAGCCUGCAGGUCAAGCAGCAUCCAGCACCACAUCCAGCCCUCCAGCUCCCUCCAGGGCAACACAGGCUGCAGGACAUCCAACAUCCAGCACCACAUCCAGCCCUCCAGCCACCUCCAGGGCAACACAGGCUGCAGGACAUCCAACAUCCAGCACCACAUCCAGCCCUCCAGCUCCCUCCAGGGCAACACAGGCUGCAGGACAUCCAACAUCCAGCACCACAUCCAGCCCUCCAGCUCCCUCCAGGGCAACACAGGCUGCAGGACAUCCAACAUCCAGCACCACAUCCAGCCCUCCAGCUCCCUCCAGGGCAACACAGGCUGCAGGUCAUCCAACAUCCAGCACCACAUCCAGGCCUCCAGCUCCCUCCAGGGCAACACAGGCUGCAGGACAUCCAACAUCCAGCACCACAUCCAGCCCUCCAGCUCCCUCCAGGGCAACACAGGCUGCAGGACAUCCAACAUCCAGCACCACAUCCAGCCCUCCAGCUCCCUCCAGGGCAACACAGGCUGCAGGACAUCCAACAUCCAGCACCACAUCCAGCCCUCCAGCUCCCUCCAGGGCAACACAGGCUGCAGGACAUCCAACAUCCAGCACCACAUCCAGCCCUCCGGCUCCCUCCAGGGCAACACAGGCUGCAGGACAUCCAACAUCCAGCACCACAUCCAGCCCUCCGGCUCCCUCCAGGGCAACACAGGCAGAAGACUUAAGAAGGAUCCGUUCGGAAUUUGUGCAGAGAGUUUCCAACCCAGUUAUCCAAUGUCUCCUGGAUGACCUUUUUGAGCAUGGAGUGUUCAGUACUGAGGAAGUGUCUGUGACUCAGGGCCACACAAACAAAGAAAACCGGGCACGUUUUUUGAUCAACACGGUGUGGGAUAAAGGGGAGGAAUCAAGUCGGAUAAUGAUCACUUGCAUGCGGAAGAGGGACAGAUACUUAUGCAAUGAACUGAGGCUGAUCGAUCCUGAUGAUAUGGGUGAGUUGUAACUAGAAAUGGGUUCUCAAUAAGCCAUGCCCACUCUAUUUUUUGGUAAGGGCCUAACCCAAACCAGACCACCAGUCUCUAUAUCCUUUCAUCUCCUGGGAUCCAACCAUUAAUUGUCAUUUCAGGACAUUUGUUUAGACUGCAUAUCCAAAGCCAUCUUCCCUACUUUGUUGAAAAGUGGGAAAUAAUUAUAAUUUAAAUACCCGAACAUCACAGCAGCAGUCAAAUGUUGUUUUUUUAAUGGUAGUUUGACAAUUUAAUUUGUUGUUGGAUGAAGCUUUUCGGGUAUCAGUAACGUUGCAAUGAAAUCACUGUUCUUGCCUAACUCAAACAGAUCUGAGGUGACCUGAGGAGGAUAAACUGGCUUCAUUCUUGAGGAAUGAAGAAAGCCCCAACAUUGUAUUCACUACGUGUCCUCGAUAAGAGACAUGAAAUAAAAGAUAGAAAUAAAACAUUUUAUAAAUAUCUGGUUGAUGUUUUUUCUUUCAUUAACAUGCUCUCUGUAACAGUGAUUAUGAUUUUUGUUUUAAAGUACAAAAAUGAAAAUGUAUAUACAAGGUGUUUUUCUUUAUCAGGUCAAAAAGGGAGGGGGGGCGGGGGGUUAGUAAUUUAUACUUCCAUAGUGAGUAAGGUCUCGCUGCAGCCUGUAGGAGAUGGACAUCCAACGUCCAAAUUCUGUCACGUGAUUCCACUUGCCACCCCCACUGACGUCACUGCCUAAUCGCGCGACAGAGCUUCAUUCUCUUCUUGACUACUUUGCCAAGAUGACAACGAUGGCAAGUCACUUAAAUUAAUGAAUGAAAGAACCUAAUUGUGAUUGCAAAAACAUCCGUUUGUGAAACGUGUUUUUGAUGGGUACACGCCUUAAAGUGUAAUUCCGGCGCAAAUUGAACCCAGGGUCUUUGUUUUGGCAUGAAAACCCAUCAACUAGGUGGGUUUCACGUGACGUCACGUUGCUGCAUCGCGAAUGCGCGAAAUCCAGAUGGAGGGCAGGAAGUGUCGUAGCUUCAGGAACUGUCAAGUGCCAACUGAAAACAUGCUUAUGUUUUGUGUAGUAUACGCACUGGUGUAGUCCAGGGUAUACGCGGGUAUACGGCGUAUAUAAUUGUAUAUAUAAUAUCACGGCCAAAAGCUCUGUCCGCCUCAGGAUGGCCGUAGCGCGGGGAGCUCUCAUAGGGAUUGGGCUUCUCGGUUUGUUUACCGGCGUUGCUAUGGUUUCUGAUCUUGUGUGUUCCAACGGUUUAUUAGGUAGGCCCAGAGUGGUAGAUUUAAGUAGUAUCACUUUAGUAGUAUAUUUAAGUAGUAUCACUUCAGUCAUUGGUAUGUGCUCAUUAUACCACUGUGAAGGGGGUCGCCGGCCCUCCGCUGCAUGUCGGGGCCGGACUACGCCCCUUAACAGUGGUAUACUAAUAAUAAUAAUAAUAAUACAUAGGUUUGGGAUGGAGUUCCAGAGGGUAGGGGCGGCAAUGGCAAAGGCUCUGUCCCCUAUGGUGCGGUAUUUGGUCCUGGUGAUGGGGAUGAGGGUGUUGGCAACAGUGGAGCGUGUUCGGUGUGGGUCAAUGGGGCGUUGGAGGAGAUCUGACAGGUAUGAGGGGGCAAGGUUGUUUAGGGCUUUGUAGGUGGUGAGGAGGAUCUUGAAAUGUAUGCGUUGUUUUACCGGAUGCCAAUGAAGUUGACGUAGGACGGGAGUGAUGUGUUCUCUGGAGGGAGUGUGGGUGAGCAGUCUAGCAGCGGAGUUUUGAACAUAUUGCAGUUUUUGAAGAACAGUGGAGGGAGACCAUACAGGAUGCUAUUGCAGUAGUCGAGUCUGGAGGUGAUGAAGGCAUGAAUUAGUGUUUCAGCAGCUGAGAAGGAGAGAGUGGGUCGAAGGCGUGCUAUGUUCCGGAGGUGGAAGAAGGAUAUUUUAGUGACGUGGUUUAUGUGUGACUUGAAGGAGAGUGCAGGGUCCAUGUAGAUGCCAAGGUUUCUGACCAGGGCGGAGGGAGGGACAGAGUGACCAUCAAUGCAGAGUGAGUAGUUCUGGGAGGUGGGGAGUGUGGAUUUUGGGCCAAAGAUUAUAAUUUCAGUUUUAUUGCUGUUGAGUUUGAGGAAGUUGUGGUUCAUCCAGGUUUUUAUGUUGGUGAGGCAGUUGGUGAGGGUGGAGAGAUUAGCUGGAGUGAUGGUUUUGGUGGUGAUGAAGAGUUGAGUGUCAUCGGCAUAGCAGUGAAAGUGUCCAUGGCAGCGGAUGAUGUGGCCAAGUGGGAGCAUAUAGAGGAUGAAGAGGAUGGGGCCAAGCG
rnacentral:lncRNA from 1 species